CCAUUCCCUAAACUAGCAGCAAACCCAGAAAUCCAAUUGCCAUUACUGUCUCUUAACAUACCCCCAGCGCCAGUGCAACCAUUUUGAGUCCUAGCACCAUCCACAUUUAAUUUUAACACACUGGGGGGAGGUUUCACCCAUUUCACAGAAAUAACUACCCUUUCAACACUCGAGGAGCCACAAGACUACUGAGCACCAUUCCAUUCAGUAAUAGAGUUCAAAAUAAUAGAACCAGGAUAAAAAAGCUACCUGAAAUCCGGAUCAAAAAUUCUUUAGCAUCUCCAUUUCCAAAUGUACCAACAAAUAAAGAUGAAGACAAUAGAUCACUUCAAACCCCCAAAGCAAACAAGUUUGCUCUGAGAAGUAGCAAACCAUUCCCUUCAAGGGUCCAAGAUCUUGCAAUUGAAUUGGAACAAAAAAAUCUACCCAAUUUGCAGAGUAGAAAUUUGCGAAUAUAGUGAACAUGGAAAAGGGCAUACACUCGAUAAAUCUACCCAAUUUGCAGAGUAGAAAUUUGCGAAUAUAGUGAACAUGGAAAAGGGCAUACACUCGAUUUGAAGUCGAGAACCCUGCUGGAUAUGUCUGAACCUAUGACUGUAGUACGUACUCCGACUGAAACUUUCUAUCUUUUGACCCUCCACUUACUUACCAAUAUAUUCUUGAAAAGAAAGGAAACUAGGUUUUCGUAGCUAGUCAUUAAUUACACACAUGAAAACUAGGUUUUAUUUCAUGCCAGUGGUCAAGGUCUAUAUAUUUUCACGUUUAAACAACCCUAAAUUAAGCCUCGUAAUGCAUGCUUCUAAUAGUGACAAAAGAAGGGUGCGUCUAAUUAAAACGAAAGAAACUUAUGCACAUAAUUCUUUUAAAGAUUUGUUUCAAAGAGAGUUCUUGAAGUUCGAUAAUCUUUUAUCAUCGAUCUUCAUUGUAAUAUUAUUCAUAUUUAAAAUGAGUUCGAAUCUAAAACAUGAAGUCGAAAUAGUUAUUGAUACGAACUUACAUUAUUAACCAUUUAAGUGAUAUAUAUAUUAAGCUUCACAAGUCAAGAGCCUAAACAAAUAAAUGACAGAAAAGAAUAUUAAUGAAAUUCAACGUUGAAUCUUUAAUUGAAUAAUGAAGACAAGAGUCAACAGAUUGGUAUAUUCAUAUUGUUGAAUCUCUAAUUGAAUAAUGGAGACAAGAGUCAAACAGAUGUUAUAUGAGUGCGGCUAUUGGGGCCUCCAAAUUUGCUCAGUAUACCUCUCAUUCUCUCCACACCUCCAUUUUACUUUUAAAUACAAACAUUUUCUCAUUAGACCUCAUUUCAAAUUCCUAAAAUAGCCUUAUUUAUAUAAUUCGCAUAUAUAUUAGUAUAUUACUCAUUACACCUCUUAUUCACUUACUAUACCUCCAAUUCAUUUUU
rnacentral:lncRNA from 1 species